GACGAACGCUGGCGGCGUGCUUAACACAUGUAAGUCGAACGGAAAGGCCCUGCUUUUGUGGGGUGCUCGAGUGGCGAACGGGUGAGUAACACGUGAGUAACCUGCCCUUGACUUUGGGAUAACUUCAGGAAACUGGGGCUAAUACCGGAUAGGAGCUCCUGCUGCAUGGUGGGGGUUGGAAAGUUUCGGCGGUUGGGGAUGGACUCGCGGCUUAUCAGCUUGUUGGUGGGGUAGUGGCUUACCAAGGCGUUGACGGGUAGCCGGCCUGAGAGGGUGACCGGCCACAUUGGGACUGAGAUACGGCCCAGACUCCUACGGGAGGCAGCAGUGGGGAAUAUUGCACAAUGGGCGGAAGCCUGAUGCAGCAACGCCGCGUGCGGGAUGACGGCCUUCGGGUUGUAAACCGCUUUCGCCUGUGACGAAGCGUGAGUGACGGUAAUGGGUAAAGAAGCACCGGCUAACUACGUG
rnacentral:rRNA from 1 species